CAGUCCAUCAGGUUUGGUAUCAGCAGGUAGCAGGGUGGAGCUGAGCUGCUCCAGCAGAGCCAAACCUCCACCCAGCUUCACCUGGUUCAGGAACAACAAAGAUGGAGCCACUAAUGUGUCUGUGGGGCCGGUUUACAAAUUCAACUCUACUGAGGAAGAAAAGUUUCACUGUGUGGCUACAAAUGAUCUGGGUCAACAAAAAUCAUCUGUGAUUCUUGUUGAUAUUAAAGAUGAUCAAUCAUCUGAAUUCCAGAUCCUUAAUAUAUUGAAGAUCCUGGGGAUUGUAUUGCUCUGCACUAGCAUCAUCAUCUUUGAGUGCUGGUUCAGAUUCUCCAAGAAACCAAAGAAGGAAACAGAAGCGCCAACCUAUGUCAACAAUGCGAUGGUUACUAAAGCAUCAUGAGCCACAAAAAGACCAAGAAGAUGUCAAGGCCUCUGUCAGAGAGAGGAUUUAUUAUUUCUAUCCAAUUGUUCAAGUUUGUGUCUCAAGAAGCUUUUUUCUAUGUGCAAAGACCAAUAGGUGGAGGUCUGGAUACACUGUGGACGCGUCACCAGUCCAUCACAUCCCCAUUCAUUGUGCUUUAGAAAUUACUUACUAUUUCUUGACACUUAUUUUUGCACUUAAGUUUGGUACUAAUGGAGUAUGCUAAUGCUUUGUUGGAUUGCUGUGUCAAAAUAGAGGUCUCUUUCUAUUUCAGGUGUAAAACAUGCAAUGUAAAAUAAGAUAAUUAUAAUAACAAUACGUAUAUACAGUAUACUUCUGUAAAACAAGUAUGAACUGGAUGUCAGAAGCAUUUGUUAUUAUUUCAGGCCAUAUUACCCCAAAUUGAGCAGAUGAAACUAAAAUAACCUCACAGUUUUAAUAUUGUUUAUUUUCAUAUUUUCAUAUCUUUUAUUGUUAUUAGUCACAAAUGACACAACACAUAAGUUACACAGAUUUGAAGUCAGCUCAGCUACGUGAACACACGUAUCAAAAACUCUUUCUUAUCUUGCUUUUU